rnacentral:rRNA from 1 species
UACGGAGGUGGCAAGCGUUGUCCGGAUUUAUUGGGCGUAAAGCGAGCGCAGGCGGAAAGUUAAGUCUGAUGUGAAAGCCCCCGGCUUAACCGAGGAAUUGCAUCGGAAACUGUGUUUCUUGAGUGCAGAAGAGGAGAGUGGAACUCCAUGUGUAGCGGUGGAAUGCGUAGAUAUCACGCAGAACCCCGAUUGCGAAGGCAGCAUACCGGCGCCCUACUGACGCUGAGGCACGAAAGUGCGGGUAUCGAACAGG